CCUGCCUUUAUCAGGGGGAUAGCCUUUCGAAAGGAAGAUUAAUACCCCAUAAUAUAAUGAGUGGCAUCACUUAUUAUUGAAAACUCCGGUGGAUAGAGAUGGGCACGCGCAAGAUUAGAUAGUUGGUAGGGUAACGGCCUACCAAGUCAGUGAUCUUUAGGGGGCCUGAGAGGGUGAUCCCCCACACUGGUACUGAGACACGGACCAGACUCCUACGGGAGGCAGCAGUGAGGAAUAUUGGACAAUGGGUGAGAGCCUGAUCCAGCCAUCCCGCGUGAAGGACGACGGCCCUAUGGGUUGUAAACUUCUUUUGUAUAGGGAUAAACCUUUCCACGUGUGGAAAGCUGAAGGUACUAUACGAAUAAGCACCGGCUAACUCCGUGCCAGCAGCCGCGGUAAUACGGAGGGUGCAAGCGUUAUCCGGAUUUAUUGGGUUUAAAGGGUCCGUAGGCGGAUCUGUAAGUCAGUGGUGAAAUCUCAUAGCUUAACUAUGAAACUGCCAUUGAUACUGCAGGUCUUGAGUAAAGUAGAAGUGGCUGGAAUAAGUAGUGUAGCGGUGAAAUGCAUAGAUAUUACUUAGAACACCAAUUGCGAAGGCAGGUCACUAUGUUUUAACUGACGCUGAUGGACGAAAGCGUGGGGAGCGAACAGGAUUAGAUACCCUGGUAGUCCACGCCGUAAACGAUGCUAACUCGUUUUUGGGUUUUCGGAUUCAGAGACUAAGCGAAAGUGAUAAGUUAGCCACCUGGGGAGUACGUUCGCAAGAAUGAAACUCAAAGGAAUUGACGGGGGCCCGCACAAGCGGUGGAUUAUGUGGUUUAAUUCGAUGAUACGCGAGGAACCUUACCAAGGCUUAAAUGGGAAUUGACAGGUUUAGAAAUAGACUUUUCUUCGGACAAUUUUCAAGGUGCUGCAUGGUUGUCGUCAGCUCGUGCCGUGAGGUGUUAGGUUAAGUCCUGCAACGAGCGCAACCCCUGUCACUAGUUGCCAUCAUUCAGUUGGGGACUCUAGUGAGACUGCCUACGCAAGUAGAGAGGAAGGUGGGGAUGACGUCAAAUCAUCACGGCCCUUACGCCUUGGGCCACACACGUAAUACAAUGGCCGGUACAGAGGGCAGCUACCUAGCGAUAGGAUGCGAAUCUCGAAAGCCGGUCUCAGUUCGGAUUGGAGUCUGCAACUCGACUCUAUGAAGCUGGAAUCGCUAGUAAUCGCGCAUCAGCCAUGGCGCGGUGAAUACGUUCCCGGGCCUUGUA
rnacentral:rRNA from 1 species